rnacentral:rRNA from 1 species
UCACGGGAGACACACGGCGGGUGCUAACGUCCGUCGUGAAGAGGGAAACAACCCAGACCGCCAGCUAAGGUCCCAAAGUCAUGGUUAAGUGGGAAACGAUGUGGGAAGGCCCAGACAGCCAGGAUGUUGGCUUAGAAGCAGCCAUCAUUUAAAGAAAGCGUAAUAGCUCACUGGUCGAGUCGGCCUGCGCGGAAGAUGUAACGGGGCUAAACCAUGCACCGAAGCUGCGGCAGCGACACUGUGUGUUGUUGGGUAGGGGAGCGUUCUGUAAGCCUGUGAAGGUGUGUCGUGAGGCAUGCUGGAGGUAUCAGAAGUGCGAAUGCUGACAUAAGUAACGAUAAAGCGGGUGAAAAGCCCGCUCGCCGGAAGACCAAGGGUUCCUGUCCAACGUUAAUCGGGGCAGGGUGAGUCGACCCCUAAGGCGAGGCCGAAAGGCGUAGUCGAUGGGAAACGGGUUAAUAUUCCCGUACUUGGUGUUACUGCGAAGGGGGGACGGAGAAGGCUAUGUUGGCCGGGCGACGGUUGUCCCGGUUUAAGCGUGUAGGUGUGUGUUCCAGGUAAAUCCGGUUCACUUUAACACUGAGGCGUGACGACGAGGCACUACGGUGCUGAAGCAACAAAUGCCCUGCUUCCAGGAAAAGCCUCUAAGCAUCAGGUAACAUCAAAUCGUACCCCAAA